rnacentral:rRNA from 1 species
UACGGAGGGUGCAAGCGUUAUCCGGAUUCACUGGGUUUAAAGGGUGCGUAGGUGGGCUUGUAAGUCAGUGGUGAAAUCUCUGAGCUUAACUCAGAAAUUGCCAUUGAUACUAUAGGUCUUGAAUCUUCUGGAGGUUAGCGGAAUAUGUCAUGUAGCGGUGAAAUGCUUAGAUAUGACAUAGAACACCAAUUGCGAAGGCAGCUAACUACGGGGGCAUUGACACUGAGGCACGAAAGCGUGGGGAUCAAACAGG